GACCCGCGAACCUGUCUCAUAACAUCGGGGAACAGGGGGUCCUCCCCCUGCUUCCCCGCGUGCGGGCGGGUGCACGUGGCCUCCUCCGGGGGCAACGUGUUCCCUCGCCCGUCGAACAACGAACCCCGGCGCGAACCGCGCCAAGGAACUUGAACAAAGAGAGCGCGUCCCCGCCCGUUCGCGGGCUGCGGUGGCGUUGCGUCUUUCACGAAAC
rnacentral:misc_RNA from 1 species